GUCUAAGUCUAGAUGUUCAAAAAGAAACACACAACAAUUUUUCAAAGAUUUAAAAUUUUAUUGAUGUACUAUGGCGCUAGGUUUUAGGGUUUACAAGGGCCUGAAUGACCGUCUUAUUUCAGACUCUGAAGUUGAAGAAGCUCUUAGACCUAGACUCAUCCUGUCUAACUUCAGACCUCUCAGUGAAAGGCCUAAAUUAGAUUUUUGGUCUUGCUGAACUCCUAAAGUCAGUUAUUCAUUUAAAUCCCUGAAGUUAGGGGAGAUGGAUCUGUGACUUAAUGUCUUUGGAAUGCAUUCAUAAAUAAACAUCACUUUCCUGUUUGAGCCCAUUGUGAGAGCUUCUUAAGUGUAAACAGCAGCCAGCAUGAUAAUAUCCAAUAAAUAACACUGAGCUGCUAUAAAAAUGGUAGUGUCUGGCAGGUGUAAAGAYGUAUAUGAAAAUGAGACUAAAACAUUGUGAAGUUUUGUUUUGUUUCGUUUUUUUUCCCAGGUGGAACAAAUACAAAUAAUUCCACUAAGGGGAUAUUGAGUUACUCUGAUUUUUACCAAUGCGGGAUCUGGAUCAUUGUCUUCAGUGGUGAAAUGAUGGAAAAUGCAACUAAUCUGACUGUUCAGAAUAAUUACUCGAAAAGAAAAAUGAAUUGGCUGAUAAUUACUGCAAAACUUAUGGCUGUUUGGUACACGUACAUCCUGUACCCCUUUAGCUUCCAAGCCUUACCCAGCAAAAUUUGCGAAUAUUUUUCAAAUGUCAAUCUGGAAUGAAACCAGCCUUUUUCCCUUUGUCUUUUACAAGCCUGCUGGUGCGGGUUAAGCGAAACCACUGAGGUUUCGCAGCAUUUUCUGUGCCAUGGUGUCUUCCGAGCAGCGUCCCAAAACGGACUGCGUCAGUGUUGCAGUUGAAGGGGAGCCGUGGUUUCCCUGUUUCAUUCCCACGGAGRGGGAAGCUCGCUUGCUUCGUGCAGCCCCGAGCUGCCGGCAGCGCCCGUGGCUUUGAGACAGGGCUCGGGGCAGUUUAACCCRUCCUGUAGCAGCUGCCGGUGCUGCCUGGGGGUGCUGAGCCCCCAAAUACUGAGGUUUUCGAGACCRCGAGGGGAGGGAAGGCCCCGUCUUUCAGGAUAUCGGUGGCUGCUGCAGGAGACGAAGGAGGCUCGGGCUGAGCUGCAAGCCGCUCGGCACGCUGCUGGGUUGCCCCCGAGGACGACACGUGGUCGCCGUGCCAGAACCUCUCCGCGUCCGCAUUUGUUUCCCCGCGCUGUGCAAAAGGAGACGGGGAUGCCRGUCCUGGGGAUGUCUCUGCGUGCCGCCGUCGUAAGGAUCCUCGCCGGCGCGCAAGGAGCUCUGCCUCCAUCGCACCAGCCGAGCCCUCGCCAAGCAAAACCCAGCGUGUGAAGGAGAUCUCCCCGGUUCAGCAGCACGGAGCAAGCCAGAGCCGGCAGCUUCAGCAGCGUGGCGCUGGCGUUUCUGUCUCGAACCUUGCAAGUUUGUUCAUAUCCCGUCCUGCCUUGGGGCACUACGUCAUCAGCCCCUUUCCAUGCCAAAUAUCAACCGUGCAUUCCCCCUUUGUGCUUUCUACUUUGCUUCUGAUGCAAUGGGCUAUUUACCCUAUUACGAGAAAUGCUUAGGCGGGUAUUGUAUCUGAGGUUAAACUCGCACUGUUAAGUUAGAGAGUCUCUGUAUGCUACGUUUAAUUUUUAUGCUGACGCCUGCAGCCUUCUCUGAAGGGGAAUUUGAGUAAAAGAGCUGGUCAGCCUAUUUUCUUCAGAAGCAGAAAUCCCCAUCUCUGAGAUUUAAACACUGACAUCCCGGUGUCUGAAUCCUGUGGGGUUAAGAAGGGAGCAUUAGAAAUCAGCUCUAAUAWGAGCUUUCAGUCCUCCCUCGGAGCCAACUGACCCUGAACUGCUUUGGGUUUUAAAAUGAUAAAGAUGAACAUAAAUCUUUUGCUUCCUGAUGUAAUUUUGACUCAAAGCAGAAAUCCCAGAGAGUACAUCUUGUCUUGUUUCAGACCUAAAUGAAGCAYAGGAGCCAUUAGAAACUGCAUGGAAAAUUGAAGCUGCGGUUGUGCGCCCAGUUCUCAAGCYGCAGUUGGGGGAAGCGUCAGGACAGACGCAGAGGCCUUUCCUCUUGCCCUCCCCUCCCAGAGCUGUAUUAAGCCAAGAGGCACCGGGGGGUAGAUCUGUUCAGAAGACGGGUUUCUGCUGCUGCUCAAACGGCAGCCUGGAAACCUGGUGCCUGGGUUUCUAUCAGACUCUGACAUAUCUCACUGCAGGACCUUUGGGAAGUUGCUUUUUUCCAUGGRAAGGGGUUCUCAGCCUACUACUUUGGCGCAUUAAAAUACUUGUUAAAAUAAAAUAAUGACAUCCUGAAUUGAAAGGGCUGYG
rnacentral:lncRNA from 1 species